rnacentral:lncRNA from 1 species
AUCUGUGGGGCGCAGGCGCAGCACCGCUCCCAACGCUUCCGGACCCCACAGACCCCAGGCCCACCCCGGGCCCUGUGCCCACGGAUCCCCCACGGCCCCGGGGGGUCCCCGAGACCACCGGGCCCUCCCCAAAGAAGUCAUCCACCGGGACCCCAUAUCCACCACAUCCUUCCAGAAGUGACCCAUCGGGACCCCGUAUCCAUCGCUUCCAUCCAUCCGUGACCCCACUGAGACCCCACACCCGCCUCCUCUUCCCCGAAGCGACCCCCCGUUUGUCCCCAUGGAGGUGUGGAGGCAGUGCGCCCACUGGUUGGUGGCAGCACGAGUGCUCCCGGCG